GUCAGUUGGCUGUGCUGUGAGGAGUAAGGAUUGGGUGGUUGCAUAAGGGACAGGAAGGAGUCAGUCGGCCGUGCGGAAGGAAGAGAAAAGGAGUCAGUGGAGCUGCCCAUGAGAACUCCCAGAGAGAAGGUGUGAAAGUUUUACAGCAGGGUGGUGAACUGAUGGUGACAGUCAGUUCCCAUCCACUGUCAACUGGUGCCAAGCACUGAUGCUGACGAGUCACUGAAUGCACAUGGACUGAUGCCAGUAAGAGAGGUUUCUCUCUCUUCAAUCAUAGUUUUGAAGUGACAGGUACAGUUCCUUACUAGGUGUUAGAGAAGCAGUUAUGUAACUGUGAAAUGGAGAAAUCUAUAUUAAAAGGGUUGAUAAGGCAUUCCUCAUCUCGGCCUGUAAAGAGUCUGUGAAGCAGGGCCAUUGGACAUCUUAACAAGUGCCAUAGAGGCAUGGCACAUCCUCUGCAGUGUCUGAAGUUUGCAGACUUGUUUUCCCCCUGUAGCAAACAGGCAGAAAUCAAGCACCACAAAUGUCAGAGGAGACAGAAGUCUUUUCCAGUGACACUGGAGAGUCUCUGACUGGCAAUAAAGUACUGCUGUGGAAAGCCAAAAGGUAAAGAUCAUCAUCACUGUGUAUUUAUAUUGUUUUUUAAAACUUGAAUUCCUAAAGAAGCAAAGCAUAUGUAAUUUUUCUUUUGGCUUCUCUGUACAUACUUCUUCCAGCUAUCCAUCAAAACUUUUGAAUCCUAAAAUUUCAAAUAAUAUGGACAGGGUAGGUCUGAGAUUUUAAAAGUAAUGGAUUUUGAAGAGUAUUGUGAAAAUUUGUAUUUGGAUAGCUAAUAUUUGUGUCAUUGAGGACAAAACUACUUGUAUGAGUCAGUACAUGUUGAGCCAAUAUAUGUGCUGAAACAGCUGGUUAAUCACCAUGUGUGUGAUACCAGAGAGCUAUUUCACAUUUUGCCCAGCAGAAAGCUGAGAUAAAAGAAGGAGCUGUGGCAGCAACCUCUGUUGUAGUGUGUAAUCUACAGAAUUAGAGAAUUUUAGGAGAAAAGGGUUCAUUAGCUCUGUUGUUAAUGAACAAAUAUUUACUUUGUAUAAUUCCUGCUAUAUUUCAAAGUAAAAUAUUUAUGAUCACAGUUGAAAAUAUUGAUAGAAACAGAAUAAUAAAUUAAUUCCUUGCUUUUUAACUAAUUUUGACUAAUAUAUUUUAUUGAUACAUAUAUCUUUGUUGUAAAAAACUUUCUAAAAAUACAAUGCUUUUGAGAGGAUUGUGUCUGUUUCAGAAAAACUUUUAAUAAAAUAGAAAGACAGUUUAUUUACAUAUCAUAUGGUAUCUUCCUUAUGUAAGUCACAUAUGCUUUCUAAAAGGGGACAGUACUGAUCUAGAAAAACUAGAUUUUUUUUUCUAUUCACUGCAAACAAUGAAACUUCAAACAUGACUAUAAUUCUCUCUGUUUUGUGGAAGGAUUAUUUUAACAGAAACUUUUAAAAUCAAUGUGUACAUGAUUUAGUUCUGUCACUUGCGGUGCUAUAAACCAUGUUAUGCUAUAUUCUAGAUCUUUGGCAAAGGUACAGUAGAGAUUUUGGGUCAGUUUGCAGAAUGUAUUUGUCUAGAAUGAAGUUAAAAGAUGGAAAAUUAGUGCAAUUUGUUGAUAAUCUUUUUCAUCCAUUUUUUAAUAGUAGGAAAAUUUUAGGUGUUCUGAUGUUGUUAUUCAAGUGAUUGAGCAGAGAUCCAUUUCCAAACUUAAGCCCUCAAACAAACCCACUGUUUUGCAACACUGUGAGAGUACAUACAGCUCCUGGCUUUGUUCCAUUUUGAUGAAAUGUGUCAUUGAUAAAAGAGAGUUCAAGCUUCCCUAAAGCAAUUAAAAUGUUCUUGCCUCAGGUGGUAAAUAAAAGCACAUGAUAGAACUAAAGCAUACUGGGAGAGUGGUAAUCAGUACAGUAGUUCGGUAUUGAACAAUAUUGAACACUGUAACAAUAACACAUAAUAAAUCAUUUUGAAAGGUACAUUGGAUAUAUUUUUUCAAGGACAAAUAAAGUAUAUUCACAAGGAUCAAAAGGACACCUUAGUUAUUUUUAUGCUUUAUUUUAGAAAUUAUUGACAAUUUUUUUUUUUAAGUAGCUUUAGCUUUCUUGACUGCAAAAUGUUUGAGGAUACUUUUGGGUAUUGGUCAGUUAGAUGUAAAUAUGUUUUAUUGAAAGCUUUUUUUCUUGAUGAGAUCAUGUGGCUGUAAUGUUUCAUUUUUAAGAGCUCUGUCCUCUGAUUUUUGUACAUUAAAUAUCU
rnacentral:lncRNA from 1 species